CCUACGGGAGGCAGCAGUGGGGAAUAUUGGACAAUGGGCGAAAGCCUGAUCCAGCAAUGCCGCGUGAGUGAAGAAGGCCUUCGGGUUGUAAAGCUCUUUUACCCGGGAAGAUAAUGACUGUACCGGGAGAAUAAGCUCCGGCUAACUCCGUGCCAGCAGCCGCGGUAAUACGGAGGGAGCUAGCGUUGUUCGGAAUUACUGGGCGUAAAGCGUACGUAGGCGGCUUGGUAAGUCAGAGGUGAAAGCCCACGACUCAAUCGUGGAACUGCCUUUGAGACUGCUUCGCUUGAAGAUGGGAGAGGUUAGUGGAAUUCCGAGUGUAGAGGUGAAAUUCGUAGAUAUUCGGAAGAACACCAGUGGCGAAGGCGGCUAACUGGACCAUUCUUGACGCUGAGGUACGAAAGCGUGGGGAGCAAACAGGAUUAGAUACCCUGGUAGUCCACGCCGUAAACGAUGAUAACUAGCUGUCGGGGCUCUUGGAGCUUCGGUGGCGCAGCUAACGCAUUAAGUUAUCCGCCUGGGGAGUACGGCCGCAGGUUAAACUCAAAGGAAUUGACGG
rnacentral:rRNA from 1 species